UACAGGGGGUGCAAGCGUUGUUCGGAAUUACUGGGCGUAAAGCGCGGGCAGGUGGCCUUUUAAGUCCUGUGUGAAAUCCCGGAGCUCAACUCCGGAUGUGCAUAGGAUACUGGAAGGCUAGGGACUGGUAGAGGCGAGCGGAAUUCCUGGUGUAGCGGUGGAAUGCGUAGAUAUUGGGAGGAACACCGGUGGCGAAGGCGGCCCCCUGGACCGGUACUGACGCUGAGGCGCGAAAGCGUGGGUAGCAAACGGG
rnacentral:rRNA from 1 species